AGUGAACGCUGGCGGCAGGCCUAACACAUGCAAGUCGAACGGCAGCACAGAGGAGCUUGCUCCUUGGGUGGCGAGUGGCGGACGGGUGAGGAAUGCGUCGGAAUCUGCCUUUUUGUGGGGGAUAACGUAGGGAAACUUACGCUACUACCGCAUACGACCUACGGGUGAAAGGGGGGGACCGCAAGGCCUCACGCAGAAAGAUGAGCCGACGCCGGAUUAGCUAGUUGGCGGGGUAAAGGCCCACCAAGGCGACGAGCCGUAGCUGGUCUGAGAGGAUGAUCAGCCACACUGGGACUGAGACACGGCCCAGACUCCUACGGGAGGCAGCAGUGGGGAAUAUUGGACAAUGGGCGCAAGCCUGAUCCAGCCAUGCCGCGUGUGUGAAGAAGGCCUUCGGGUUGUAAAGCACUUUUGUCCGGAAAGAAAUCCUUUCGAUUAAUACUCGGGAGGGAUGACGGUACCGGAAGAAUAAGCACCGGCUAACUUCGUGCCAGCAGCCGCCGUAAUAC
rnacentral:rRNA from 1 species